rnacentral:lncRNA from 1 species
UUUAGACGGGACGUAUUAUGGUAUACCGUUGUCCGUCCGUCCGUCCGUCCGUCGUCCACACUUCGGACAAUAACUCAAAAACACUUUCACCAAUUUCCAUGAAACUUAAGUGAAUUGUUUAUAUCUAUUGACGUAAGCUCCCUUUCGUUUUUUUUUUUAAUUUCAGAUUUUAAGUUUUGGAUUUAUGGGGCUUUAUUCAUAAAAAAGGGGGGAUUUUCAACACUUCGGACAAUAACUCAAAAAGGCUUUCACCAAUGUCCAUGAAACUUUGGUGAAUUGUUUAUAUCUAUUGAUGUAAGCUCCCUUUCAAUUUUUAUAAAUUUCAGAUUUUAAGUUUUGGAUUUAUGGGGUUUUAUUCAUAAAAAAAGGGGGAUUUUCAACACUUCGGACGAUAACUCAAAAAGGCUUUCACCAAUGUCCAUGAAACUUUGGUGAAUUGUUUAUAUCUAUUGAUGUAAGCUCAUUUCAAUUUUUAUAAAUUUCAGAUUUUAAGUUUUGAAUUUAUGGGGCUUUAUUCAUAAAAAAAAAAGGGGGAUUUUCAACACUUCGGACAAUAACUCAAAAAGGCUUUCACCAAUGUCCAUGAAACUUUGGUGAAUUGUUUAUAUCUAUUGAUGUAAGCUCCCUUUCAAUUUUUAUAAAUUUCAGAUUUUGAGUUUUGGAUUUAUGGGGCUUUAUUCAUAAAAAAAAGGGGGAUUUUCAACACUUCGGACAAUAACUCAAAAAGGCUUUCACCAAUGUCCAUGAAACUUUGGUGAAUUGUUUAUAUCUAUUGAUGUACGCUCCCUUUCAAUUUUUAUAAAUUUCAGAUUUUACAUUUCCGUGUUAUGAAUUUUUAUGCUUAAAAAAGGGGAUUUUCCAAUUUUGGGACAAUAACUAAC